GAUAAACGCUGGCGGCGUGCAUAACACAUGCAAGUCGAACGAAGUAGCGAACGGGUGAGUAACACGUGAGUAACCUGCCUUACACAAGGGGAUAGCAUUUGGAAACGAAGAAUAAUACCCUAUAUUGUAAGAUGGACUUGCGUCUGAUUAGCUAGGUGGUGAGAUAAAAGCCCAACAAGGCGACGAUCAGUAGCCGGCUUGAGAGAGUGUACGGCCACAUUGGGACUGGAGCACGGCCCAAACUCUACGAGAGGCAGCAGUGGGGAAUUGUGCACAAUGGGGGAAACCCUGAUGCAGCGACGCCGCGUGAUUUAGAAUGCCUUAGGGUUGUAAAAAUCUUUUUUAUUGGAUGCAGUACCAUAAGAAUAAGGUCCGGCUAAAUACGUGCCAGCAGCCGCGGUAAUAC
rnacentral:rRNA from 1 species